CCGAGUGAGGGCCCUCUGGGUCCAACCUCCCACCCGUGUUUAUCGUACCUUGUUGCUUCGGCGGGCCCGCCUAUUCUGGCCGCCGGGGGGCAUCCGCCCCCGGGCCCGCGCCCGCCGAAGACACAUUGAACGCUGUCUGAAGAUUGCAGUCUGAGCACUUAGCUAAAUCAGUUA
rnacentral:misc_RNA from 1 species